CCUACGGGUGGCAGCAGUAGGGAAUAUUGCUCAAUGGGGGAAACCCUGAAGCAGCAACGCCGCGUGGAGGAUGAAGGUUUUAGGAUUGUUAACUCCUUUUGUGAGAGAAGAUAAUGCCGGUAUCCCACGCAUAAGCACCGGCUAACUCCGUGCCGGCAGCCGCGGUAAUACGGCGGGUGCAAGCGUUACUCGGAAUUACCGGGCGUAAAGCGUGCGCAGGCGGGCUUGUAAGUCAGAUGUGAAAGCCUGGAGUUUAACUACAGAACUGCAUUUGAAACUAUGAGUCUAGAGUGUGGGAGAGGUAGGUGGAAUGCUUGGUGUAGGGGUAAAAUCCGUAGAUAUCAAGAGGAAUACUCAUUGCGAAGGCGGCCUACUGGAACAUUACUGACGCUCAGGCACGAAAGCGUGGGGAGCAAACAGGAUUAGAUACCCUAGUAGUC
rnacentral:rRNA from 1 species